UAAACUCCUGAUGACAUGUCCAAAAACAUGUCAAAGUAAAGAAGAAUCACCUUGAUGUAAAACCUGAGUGUAAGAGGAAAUGAAAGGAGGAACACAAGCAAGAGCAACAAGAGUUCACCAAAUCAAUCGGCAUGAUAGUUGAACUGAGGUUAAAGCAGAAUGGAUGCUUCACCACCAAAUUUGCCUGCUUUCGUGAUUCUAUGUUUAACCUCCAUCAUGCAUCAAAACUGGGCUUUGGAGGUGACCUGUACGGGGAAACUCACGCUGGACCCUGGCCCACUGGUGGAAUGGGGGUCUUCGUUGAGCGUCUUCUGCCAGAUAAAUGAGUGCCGUGCAGGUCCUCAAAACCCCUUCUCCAUAAAGCUCAACUACAAGCCACUACACCUUGUGGAACAGAACUGCACGACAGCCCGGCUCCACAUAGCCAACAUGACUGCCUUAGGUUCCCAUCUGUUUUGUUUAGUGGGCAAACGAGUUGUUUGUGGAAUAGACCUGAAAUCUGGACAUCGGCCAGCCAAAGCGACUCAGUUUAACUGUUUCACACCAAUUAAGUCUGACACCAUCAGCUGCUCUUGGAUUAACGGAAGGGAAACCCACCUUCCAACAAAC